rnacentral:rRNA from 1 species
AUUGAACGCUGGCGGCAUGCUUUACACAUGCAAGUCGAACGGCAGCACGGGAGCUUGCUCCUGGUGGCGAGUGGCGAACGGGUGAGUAAUGCAUCGGAACGUGCCGAGUAAUGGGGGAUAACGCAGCGAAAGUUGUGCUAAUACCGCAUACGCUCUGAGGAGGAAAGCGGGGGACCUUUCGGGGCCUCGCGUUAUUCGAGCGGCCGAUGCCUGAUUAGCUAGUUGGUGAGGUAAAGGCUCACCAAGGCGACGAUCAGUAGCGGGUCUGAGAGGAUGAUCCGCCACACUGGGACUGAGACACGGCCCAGACUCCUACGGGAGGCAGCAGUGGGGAAUUUUGGACAAUGGGGGCAACCCUGAUCCAGCCAUGCCGCGUGUCUGAAGA